CCUACGGGAGGCAGCAGUGGGGAAUUUUGGGCAAUGGGCGAAAGCCUGACCCAGCAACGCCGCGUGAAGGAUGAAGUAUUUCGGUAUGUAAACUUCGAAAGAAUGGGAAGAAUAAAUGACGGUACCAUUUAUAAGGUCCGGCUAACUACGUGCCAGCAGCCGCGGUAAUACGUAGGGACCAAGCGUUGUUCGGAUUUACUGGGCGUAAAGGGCGCGUAGGCGGCUUGACAAGUCACUUGUGAAAUCUCCGGGCUUAACUCGGAACGGCCAAGUGAAACUGUCAUGCUAGAGUGCAGAAGGGGCAAUCGGAAUUCUUGGUGUAGCGGUGAAAUGCGUAGAUAUCAAGAGGAACACCUGAGGUGAAGACGGGUUGCUGGGCUGACACUGACGCUGAGGCGCGAAAGCCAGGGGAGCAAACGGGAUUAGAUACCCCGGUAGUCCUGGCCCUAAACGAUGAAUACUUGGUGUCUGGAGUAAAUAGUGCUCCGGGUGCCGUCGCUAACGUUUUUAGUAUUCCGCCUGGGGAGUACGCUCGCAAGAGUGAAACUCAAAGGAAUUGACGG
rnacentral:rRNA from 1 species